UACGAAGGGUGCAAGCGUUAAUCGGAAUUACUGGGCGUAAAGCGUGCGUAGGCGGUUUGUUAAGUCUGUUGUGAAAUCCCCGGGCUCAACCUGGGAAUGGCAAUGGAUACUGGCAGGCUAGAGUGUGUCAGAGGAUGGUGGAAUUCCCGGUGUAGCAGUGAAAUGCGUAGAGAUCGGGAGGAACACCAGUGGCGAAGGCGGCCUUCUGGACCAAUACUGACGCUCAUGCACGAAAGCGUGGGGAGCAAACAGG
rnacentral:rRNA from 1 species